UAAAGGAAGCGAUUCCGGCUACGGAUGGUCAUGCGUCGCAUUAGCUAGUUGGCGGGGUAACGGCCCACCAAGGCGACGAUGCGUAGGGGUUCUGAGAGGAAGGUCCCCCACACUGGUACUGAGACACGGACCAGACUCCUACGGGAGGCAGCAGUGAGGAAUAUUGGUCAAUGGCCGCAGGGCUGAACCAGCCAAGUCGCGUGAGGGAUGACGGUCCUAUGGAUUGUAAACCUCUUUUGUCAGGGAGCAAAGGGCGCCACGUGUGGCGCUUUGCGAGUACCUGAAGAAAAAGCAUCGGCUAACUCCGUGCCAGCAGCCGCGGUAAUACGGAGGAUGCGAGCGUUAUCCGGAUUUAUUGGGUUUAAAGGGUGCGCAGGCGGAAUGUCAAGUCAGCGGUAAAAUUUCGGGGCUCAACCCCGUCGUGCCGUUGAAACUGGCGUUCUUGAGUGAGCGAGAAGUAUGCGGAACGCGUGGUGUAGCGGUGAAAUGCAUAGAUAUCACGCAGAACUCCGAUCGCGAAGGCAGCAUACCGGCGCUCAACUGACGCUCAUGCACGAAAGCGUGGGUAUCGAACAGGAUUAGAUACCCUGGUAGUCCACGCAGUAAACGAUGAAUACUA
rnacentral:rRNA from 1 species